UUUAUGCAUAUAAUAGAUAGUGAAGAUAUUAUAUGUGGAUAACUAUACAUAUUAUAAAUAUUAUAAAAGAUAAAAAAUAUUGUUAGAUAAGAAUGAAAAAGAAUUAUUGUUAGAUAAGGCAUUAGAUAAGAUAGAAUAAGAAUAUUAUGUGGGCGGCGGUUAUUAGGAGAUAGGUUAUGCAUAUAAAAAGUGAAAUUUGAUAGGUACAACAAUUUAGGUAAAAAAGUGACAGAUACUUAAUUCAUCAGUCAUUUGAUUAGAUUCAAUGACUAAAAAUUAAUAUAUUUAUGAUUUAUGAUAGUUUAAAAUUAAAAUAAAAGUUUUUAGACUGUAAUUUAUUAUAUAUUAAUGUUGAAUGAAUGAUAUUGUUAGUAUAUGAUUAGAAUUAUAUUAUAAAGAAUGACAUUUUUUUAAAAAAAGUAUUUUAAAACUCUCUCUUUUAUAAAUAGUAUAGAUAUAGAUAUUACUUCACACUCAUUUUUUACAUAAUAAGAAUAUUAGGCAGUCCCAGCCAAACCUAAAAUAAAAAUAUGGAAGAUAUAUAUACUUACUUCUUGCUAUAUUUUGGCAGUGUCUAACGUACGAUGCUUGCAAUUCCAAUUGAAAGCAAUGUUUUUUUUUUUUUUUUUGAGAGAUAGGUAGCACGCUAUCCGCUUCGUUUAUUUCAUUUAGAAAUAAACUUAGCUGGAAAUGUGAAUCAACUAGGAUUCGAACUUGGGUCGCUGGUACCAACCACCAAACCCUUUGCCACUUACUCUGGGGACGAUCAGUAAUUGAAAGCAAUGUUGACCUGUAUAUACUACGACCUGU
rnacentral:lncRNA from 1 species